rnacentral:rRNA from 1 species
UAGGGAAUAUUGCACAAUGGAGGAAACUCUGAUGCAGCAACGCCGCGUGGAGGAUGACGCAUUUCGGUGUGUAAACUCCUUUUAUAGGGGAAGAUAAUGACGGUACCCUAUGAAUAAGCACCGGCUAACUCCGUGCCAGCAGCCGCGGUAAUACGGAGGGUGCAAGCGUUACUCGGAAUCACUGGGCGUAAAGGAUGCGUAGGCUGGAAAUCAAGUCGAAAGUGAAAUCCAACGGCUUAACCGUUGAACUGCUUUCGAAACUGAUUACCUAGAAUAUGGGAGAGGUAGAUGGAAUUAGUGGUGUAGGGGUAAAAUCCGUAGAUAUCACUAGGAAUACCGAUUGCGAAGGCGAUCUACUGGAACAUUAUUGACGCUGAGGCAUGAAAGCGUGGGGAGCAAACA